AAGCGAGUCUUAAUAGGGCGUUUAGUCGCUGGGUAUAGACCCGAAACCGGGCGAUCUAUCCAUGAGCAGGUUGAAGGUUAGGUAACACUGACUGGAGGACCGAACCCACUCCCGUUGAAAAGGUAGGGGAUGACUUGUGGAUCGGAGUGAAAGGCUAAUCAAGCUCGGAGAUAGCUGGUUCUCCUCGAAAGCUAUUUAGGUAGCGCCUCAUGUAUCACUCUGGGGGGUAGAGCACUGUUUCGGCUAGGGGGUCAUCCCGACUUACCAAACCGAUGCAAACUCCGAAUACCCAGAAGUGCCGAGCAUGGGAGACACACGGCGGGUGCUAACGUCCGUCGUGAAAAGGGAAACAACCCAGACCGCCAGCUAAGGUCCCAAAGUUGUGGUUAAGUGGUAAACGAUGUGGGAAGGCUUAGACAGCUAGGAGGUUGGCUUAGAAGCAGCCACCCUUUAAAGAAAGCGUAAUAGCUCACUAGUCGAGUCGGCCUGCGCGGAAGAUGUAACGGGGCUCAAACCACACACCGAAGCUGCGGGUGUCACGUAAGUGACGCGGUAGAGGAGCGUUCUGUAAGCCUGUGAAGGUGAGUUGAGAAGCUUGCUGGAGGUAUCAGAAGUGCGAAUGCUGACAUGAGUAACGACAAUGGGUGUGAAAAACACCCACGCCGAAAGACCAAGGGUUCCUGCGCAACGUUAAUCGACGCAGGGUUAGUCGGUUCCUAAGGCGAGGCUGAAAAGCGUAGUCGAUGGGAAACAGGUUAAUAUUCCUGUACUUCUGGUUACUGCGAUGGAGGGACGGAGAAGGCUAGGCCAGCUUGGCGUUGGUUGUCCAAGUUUAAGGUGGUAGGCUGAAAUCUUAGGUAAAUCCGGGGUUUCAAGGCCGAGAGCUGAUGACGAGUCGUCUUUUAGAUGACGAAGUGGUUGAUGCCAUGCUUCCAAGAAAAGCUUCUAAGCUUCAGGUAACCAGGAACCGUACCCCAAACCGACACAGGUGGUCGGGUAGAGAAUACCAAGGCGCUUGAGAGAACUCGGGUGAAGGAACUAGGCAAAAUGGCACCGUAACUUCGGGAGAAGGUGCGCCGGCUAGGGUGAAGGAUUUACUCCGUAAGCUCUGGCUGGUCGAAGAUACCAGGCCGCUGCGACUGUUUAUUAAAAACACAGCACUCUGCAAACACGAAAGUGGACGUAUAGGGUGUGACGCCUGCCCGGUGCCGGAAGGUUAAUUGAUGGGGUUAGCGCAAGCGAAGCUCUUGAUCGAAGCCCCGGUAAACGGCGGCCGUAACUAUAACGGUCCUAAGGUAGCGAAAUUCCUUGUCGGGUAAGUUCCGACCUGCACGAAUGGCGUAACGAUGGCGGCGCUGUCUCCACCCGAGACUCAGUGAAAUUGAAAUCGCUGUGAAGAUGCAGUGUAUCCGCGGCUAGACGGAAAGACCCCGUGAACCUUUACUGUAGCUUUGCACUGGACUUUGAGCCUGCUUGUGUAGGAUAGGUGGGAGGCUUUGAAGCGUGGACGCCAGUUCGCGUGGAGCCAUCCUUGAAAUACCACCCUGGCAUGCUUGAGGUUCUAACUCUGGUCCGUGAUCCGGAUCGAGGACAGUGUAUGGUGGGCAGUUUGACUGGGGCGGUCUCCUCCUAAAGAGUAACGGAGGAGUACGAAGGUGCGCUCAGACCGG
rnacentral:rRNA from 1 species